UACAGAGGUCUCAAGCGUUGUUCGGAUUCAUUGGGCGUAAAGGGUGCGUAGGUGGCGCCGUAAGUCAGGUGUGAAAUUUCGGAGCUUAACUCCGAAACUGCAUUUGAUACUGCGGUGCUUGAGGACUGGAGAGGAGACUGGAAUUUACGGUGUAGCAGUGAAAUGCGUAGAGAUCGUAAGGAAGACCAGUGGCGAAGGCGGGUCUCUGGACAGUUCCUGACACUGAGGCACGAUGGCCAGGGGAGCAAACGGG
rnacentral:rRNA from 1 species